rnacentral:rRNA from 1 species
GACGAACGCUGGCGGCGUGCUUAACACAUGCAAGUCGAACGGAAAGGCCCUGCUUUUGUGGGGUGCUCGAGUGGCGAACGGGUGAGUAACACGUGAGUAACCUGCCCUUGACUUUGGGAUAACUUCAGGAAACUGGGGCUAAUACCGGAUAGGAGCUCCUGCUGCAUGGUGGGGGUUGGAAAGUUUCGGCGGUUGGGGAUGGACUCGCGGCUUAUCAGCUUGUUGGUGGGGUAGUGGCUUACCAAGGCUUUGACGGGUAGCCGGCCUGAGAGGGUGACCGGCCACAUUGGGACUGAGAUACGGCCCAGACUCCUACGGGAGGCAGCAGUGGGGAAUAUUGCACAAUGGGCGGAAGCCUGAUGCAGCAACGCCGCGUGCGGGAUGACGGCCUUCGGGUUGUAAACCGCUUUCGCCUGUGACGAAGCGUGAGUGACGGUAAUGGGUAAAGAAGCACCGGCUAACUACGUGCCAGCAGCCGCGGUGAUACGUAGGGUGCGAGCGUUGUCCGGAUUUAUUGGGCGUAAAGGGCUCGUAGGUGGUUGAUCGCGUCGGAAGUGUAAUCUUGGGGCUUAACCCUGAGCGUGCUUUCGAUACGGGUUGACUUGAGGAAGGUAGGGGAGAAUGGAAUUCCUGGUGGAGCGGUGGAAUGCGCAGAUAUCAGGAGGAACACCAGUGGCGAAGGCGGUUCUCUGGGCCUUUCCUGACGCUGAGGAGCGAAAGCGUGGGGAGCGAACAGGCUUAGAUACCCUGGUAGUCCACGCUGUAAACGGUGGGUACUAGGUGUGGGGUCCAUUCCACGGGUUCCGUGCCGUAGCUAACGCUUUAAGUACCCCGCCUGGGGAGUACGGCCGCAAGGCUAAAACUCAAAGGAAUCGACGGGGCCCCGCACAAGCGGCGGAGCAUGCGGAUUAAUUCGAUGCAACGCGUAGAACCUUACCUGGGUUUGACAUGGAUCGGGAGUGCUCAGAGAUGGGUGUGCCUCUUUUGGGGUCGGUUCACAGGUGGUGCAUGGCUGUCGUCAGCUCGUGUCGUGAGAUGUUGGGUUAAGUCCCGCAACGAGCGCAACCCUUGUUCACUGUUGCCAGCACGUUAUGGUGGGGACUCAGUGGAGACCGCCGGGGCCAACUCGGAGGAAGGUGGGGAUGACGUCAAGUCAUCAUGCCCCUUAUGUCCAGGGCUUCACGCAUGCUACAAUGGCUGGUACAGAGAGUGGCGAGCCUGUGAGGGUGAGCGAAUCUCGGAAAGCCGGUCUCAGUUCGGAUUGGGGUCUGCAACUCGACCUCAUGAAGUCGGAGUCGCUAGUAAUCGCAGAUCAGCAACGCUGCGGUGAAUACGUUCCCGGGGCU